AACAGCAAGAAGUUUUGGCUUGGUUACUUGAACCUUUGAGCCAACAGUGGAUACAGCUAGAGUGGCAAAAUAAUUUUUUGUCUGAACCUCUGGGUAUGAUUCGUUUGUGCUCUGAGACACAAUUUAUGUGGUCAAUUUUCCACACUGUAACAUUCUUUGAGAAGGCACUUAAAAGAAGUGGAACCAGAAAAGGCAAUGUGAAUUUACAAAACAACUCGACAGGAAGCACUUAUUUGCAUCCAAUGGCUUCACAUCUA
rnacentral:misc_RNA from 1 species